UUCGACAGAUAAAAAAAUGUUCACUGACACAGGGCUUCUGCGCUUAUUGGCUUAAUUCUCCAAGGGAUAAAACAUAAUUUAUAAUGUCCAUGCCAAAUUGCCUGGAAGGCGUUUUAUAAACUAACCUUCUUUACACGAUUCAAGACAGCGAGUGUAAAUGAUUCUGUUUGGUAUAAAAUAAUCUUUCUUUUCCUGUCAAGUCAUUCGGUUCAACUUUGACGACCGAUUACUGAUCCAAGUUCUCUUGGAACAAAAUACCUAAACAAUGAAAGAUAUUAAUCUAGUUAUUUGCACAUAUCAACUGACAACAUGUAUUAUCUAACUGAUAGC
rnacentral:lncRNA from 1 species